ACCUGUUUAAGAAAAGAGAGAGCCUCUGCCACUGGAACUCCGCUAGAAAAGAGAGAGCCUCUGCCUCUGCCACUGAAUUAUAUCAGUCUAACCAAGGUGUGUCCGACUCCAACUUCUCCAGAGGUGUGUCCUGUAUAACAUAAAUAGAUUUUAUUAGAAACGUGAAAAAAUGUCAAGCAGGCAGCAAAUAAUUAAACCCUGACUUUAAACCAUAAUUUAAACCCUGACUUUGUUGCUUUCUGAUUGGUUCAAAGCAAAUAAUUACUCUCUGGGAUGGGAAACACAAGCAGGCAGCACAAUUAAACAGAGUGAACACACAACACACAGAUUGUUGACCGACAAAAGACCAAAAAGGCUGAGAAGUAUCAUCAUGUUAUUAUACUAUGACAUUCUUUCACUUUAAUUCACUAGGCAAUGCAGAAGUUGUGUGAACGUAAAACCACAUCCCAGAAAACAAUGAACGGAUCUAAUAACUAGCAGUAAAUCUUAUAAGUCGUAACGAAAUCAAGACUGGAAAAUGAAACAGAAAACACUUUCUUUACUAAGCACACUCAAGGAAUCCAGAAAGUAACUUGCAGUUUCUAUGUUCCAAUUCAAGCGUAGUCAACAUAUGAAAACCUAUUCAUCAGCAUUAGACCGUCUGUCAUCCGAAGACCCGUCAUUUUUAUCCCUUCUUUCCUGCCAUCUUGCCCAAAGCUAC
rnacentral:lncRNA from 1 species